GUACACGCUGUGACUAGCAUAUCAAUAAGCGGAGGAAAAGAAAUUAACAAGGAUUCCCCUAGUAACGGCGAGUGAAGCGGGAAGAGCUCAAAUUUGAAAUCUUAAAGGGUUUCCCUUUACGAAUUGUAGUUUAAAGAAGUGUUUUCUGUUGAGGUUUUGGUAAAAGUUCUUUGGAAUAGGACAUCAUAGAGGGUGAGAAUCCCGUAUUUGACCUUUACUUUCAACUUUGUGAUACACUUUCAAAGAGUCGGAUUGUUUGGGAAUGCAGGUCCAAAAUGGGUGGUAAAUUUCAUCUAAAGCUAAAUAUUGGCGAGAGACCGAUAGCAAACAAGUACCGUGAGGGAAAGAUGAAAAGAACUUUGAAAAGAGAGUUAAACAGUACGUGAAAUUGUCAAAAGGGAAGCGUUUGACACCAGUGUUGUUUUUCUGAAAAUCAAUUAAAGAACUGUUUAUGCUAAGUUGUUUAGACUUUAUCAGCUAUCUGUUUAGUUUUGAGCUUUUCUUUAAUGCACUUUUCAGUUAACAAGUCAACAUCAAUUUCUUUUGCUGUAAAAAAGCUUGAGGAAGGUGGCUUGAGAUUCGUCUUAAGUGUUUAUAGCCUCUUGCCUAUGCAGUCGGAGAGAUUGAGGUCUGCAGCGUAGAUCCUUCGGGGCUAAAUGCAUUUGUGCUAAGUUAUAGCAUUUUAUAGACAACUUGUUGACUAUGAUUUGUCUUGUAGCUUACUCGCUUAUGUUAUUUUACCUACGCUUAGGAUGUUGAGCGCAUGUCUCUCUCU
rnacentral:rRNA from 1 species